GAAUAUUGCACAAUGGGGGAAACCCUGAUGCAGCGACGCCGCGUGAGCGAAGAAGGCNNNCGGGUNUUAAAGCUCUGUCCUAANGGANAAAACGGACGGUACCUUAGGAGGAAGCCCCGGCUAACUACGUUCCAGCAGCCGCGGUAAUACGUAGGGGGCGAGCGUUAUCCGGAAUUAUUGGGCGUGAAGGGUGCGUAGGCGGUCUUUUAAGUCAGAUGUGAAAGGCUACGGCUUAACCGAAGUUAGAAUUUGAAACUAAAAGGCUUGAGUGCAGGAGAGGAGAGUGGAAUUCCUAGUGUAGCGGUGAAAUGCGUAGAUAUUAGGAGGAACACAAGUGGCGAAGGCGACUCUCUGGACUGCAACUGACGCUGAGGCACGAAAGCGUGGGGAGCGAACAG
rnacentral:rRNA from 1 species